UCAGCAACCCAUCAAUUCCUGGUUUCCUUAACAAUUACUCAGAAAUGGUUUUACUUCAUCUAUUGAUCUUCAAACUGUGAAGAAUUAGGAGCAGUACAAAUGAAUAUUUUCUUAACUUUAAAGGAUAUAAUUUUGUGAAAAAUUAUGUGAACAUUGAAGAGUUGGAAAACAUGGAACAUUUCAAGAUUAGAGAUGAUAAUGUCUUCAUUGUCACAUAUCCAAAAUCUGUCAGAUGGUUUUUCCAGUCUCCAGUGGCACCUAAUAGGAUAAGCACAGGAACAGCACAAAGGUCUACACUCUCCAGGACUUUCAUCAUGAAUGUAUAUUUGAUUUUGUCUGCAUCUAUUCAGAUGAUCAUUAUUCAUGCUUGUUUCCUGUGAUUCUCCUGAACCUAAAGCCUGGGAACCUUAGCCACCCUUACCCCAUCCUGCCCUGUCCAGGUUUCAAGCCUUUUAACCAACCUGUCAGAAAUAAUGUCUUAGGCAGCUUUGCACAACUAGAUAAGACAGUAACCAGAUCUUGAGGCUCAGUAAUAAACAUCAAAAUAUUAGCAUCUGAUCAACCCCCAAGUGCAGACUGACCUUCAAUUCAGAGAUUGGAUUCUCUGCCUCUGGAAUUCUAGAUUAAAGUCAUGUGACAUCAUGCCCA